rnacentral:rRNA from 1 species
UGCGUAGGCGGAAUAAUAAGUCAGUGGUGAAAUCCUGUGGCUCAACCACAGAACUGCCAUUGAUACUGUUAUUCUUGAAUAUAGUUGAGGUAGGCGGAAUGUGUAAUGUAGCGGUGAAAUGCUUAGAUAUUACACAGAACACCGAUUGCGAAGGCAGCUUGCUAAACUAUCAUUGACGCUGAGGCACGAAAGCGUGGGGAGCGAACAGGAUUAGAUACCCUGGUAGUCC